rnacentral:rRNA from 1 species
UUCGCCCUUAGAGUUUGAUCCUGGCUCAGGACGAACGCUGGCGGCGUGCCUAACACAUGCAAGUCGAGCGAUGAAAGAGAAAUGGAAUUCUUCGGAAUGAAAUUUUUCUGGAUUAGCGGCGAACGGGUGAGUAACACGUGAGCAAUCUGCCUUUCACAAAGGGAUAGCCUCGGGAAACUGGGAUUAAUACCAUAUGAGACUACAUUACCACAUGGUAAAGUAGUUAAAGCGAAUAAGCGGUGAAAGAUGAGCUCGCGUCCCAUUAGCUAGUUGGUGAGAUAAAAGCCCACCAAGGCAACGACGGGUAGCCGGCCUGAGAGGGUGAACGGCCACAUUGGAACUGAGACACGGUCCAAACUCCUACGGGAGGCAGCAGUGGGGAAUAUUGCACAAUGGAGGGAACUCUGAUGCAGCGACGCCGCGUGAACGAUGAAGGCUUUCGAGUCGUAAAGUUCUGUCCUAUGGGAAGAUAAUGACGGUACCAUAGGAGGAAGCCCCGGCUAACUACGUGCCAGCAGCCGCGGUAAUACGUAGGGGGCGAGCGUUGUCCGGAAUUAUUGGGCGUAAAGGGUUCGCAGGCGGUAAUGUAAGUCUGAUGUGAAAUCCUGUGGCUAAACCACAGUAAGCAUUAGAAACUGCAUAACUUGAGUCAAGGAGAGGUAAGUGGAAUUCCUAGUGUAGCGGUGAAAUGCGUAGAUAUUAGGAGGAAUACCAGUGGCGAAGGCGACUUACUGGACUUGAACUGACGCUGAGGAACGAAAGCGUGGGUAGCAAACAGGAUUAGAUACCCUGGUAGUCCACGCCGUAAACGAUGAGUGCUAGGUGUCGGGAGUCAAAUCUCGGUGCCGUAGUUAACGCAAUAAGCACUCCGCCUGGGGAGUACGUGCGCAAGCAUGAAACUCAAAGGAAUUGACGGGGACCCGCACAAGCAGCGGAGCAUGUGGUUUAAUUCGACGCAACGCGAAGAACCUUACCAGGACUUGACAUAUGUAUGACUGAUAUAGAGAUAUAUCAUUUUCUUCGGAGACAUAUAUACAGGUGGUGCAUGGUUGUCGUCAGCUCGUGUCGUGAGAUGUUGGGUUAAGUCCCGCAACGAGCGCAACCCCUAUUACUAGUUGCCAGCAUUUAAGAUGGGGACUCUAGUGAGACUGCCGAUGAUAAAUCGGAGGAAGGUGGGGAUGACGUCAAAUCAUCAUGCCCUUUAUGUCCUGGGCUACACACGUGCUACAAUGGUCGGUACAGAGAGCAGCGAAACAGUGAUGUCAAGCGAACCUCAAAAAGCCGAUCCCAGUUCGGAUUGUAGGCUGCAACUCGCCUACAUGAAGUCGGAGUUGCUAGUAAUCGCGAAUCAGAAUGUCGCGGUGAAUGCGUUCCCGGGUCUUGUACUCACCGCCCGUCA